UACAGAGGUCUCAAGCGUUGUUCGGAAUUACUGGGCGUAAAGGGUGCGCAGGCCGCGCGGGCAGUCAAAUGUGUAAUUCAGGGGCUCAACCCCUGCACUGCGCUUGGUACUUCCGCGCUCGAGCUUUGGAGAGGAGUCUGGAAUUCUCGGUGUAGCAGUGAAAUGCGUGGAUAUCGAGAAGAACACUUAGGGCGUAGGCAAGACUCUGGACAAAUGCUGACGCUCAUGCACGAAGGCUAGGGUAGCGAACGGG
rnacentral:rRNA from 1 species